UACGUAGGGGGCUAGCGUUGUCCGGAUUUAUUGGGCGUAAAGAGCGUGUAGGCGGCCAGGUAGGUCUGCUGUGAAAACUCGAGGCUCAACCUCGAGACGUCGGCGGAAACCAUCUGGCUAGAGUCCGGAAGAGGAGAGUGGAAUUCCUGGUGUAGCGGUGAAAUGCGCAGAUAUCAGGAGGAACACCAAUAGCGAAGGCAGCUCGCUGGGACGUUACUGACACUAAGGCGCGAAAGCGUGGGGAGCGAACAGG
rnacentral:rRNA from 1 species